AAGACUUUAAGUUAAGUAAACUAAUAACCUUCAAAGUUUUAAACGAGUCAACCUCAAGUCUUG
rnacentral:tRNA from 1 species